rnacentral:rRNA from 1 species
AUAUCAAUAAGCGGAGGAAAAGAAACCAACAGGGAUUGCCUCAGUAACGGCGAGUGAAGCGGCAAUAGCUCAAAUUUGAAAGCUGGCGUCUUCGACGUCCGCGUUGUAAUUUGUAGAGGAUGUUUCGGCGAGGGCUCCUGCCUAAGUUCCCUGGAAUGGGACGUCACAGAGGGUGAGAAUCCCGUAUGUGGCGGGCGGCCUUAGCCAUGUGAAACUCCUUCGACGAGUCGAGUUGUUUGGGAAUGCAGCUCUAAAUGGGAGGUAAAUUUCUUCUAAAGCUAAAUACCGGCCAGAGACCGAUAGCGCACAAGUAGAGUGAUCGAAAGAUGAAAAGCACUUUGGAAAGAGAGUUAAAAAGUACGUGAAAUUGUUGAAAGGGAAGCGCUUGCAACCAGACUCGUUCGCAGUUGCUCAGCCCGCCUCUUGGUGGGUGUACUCUUCUGCGGUCGGGCCAGCAUCAGUCCGGGCGGUCGGAUAAAGGUGUCGGGAAUGUAGCACCCUUCGGGGUGUGUUAUAGCCCGGCGCGGAAUGCGGCCAGCCUGGACUGAGGAUCUCGCUUCGGCAAGGAUGCUGGCGUAAUGGUUGUAAGCGGCCCGUCUUGAAACACGGACCAAGGAGUCUAACAUCUAUGCGAGUGUUUGGGUGUCAAACCCAUGCGCGUAAUGAAAGUGAACGGAGGUGGGAACCCGUAAGGGUGCACCAUCGACCGAUCCUGAUGUCUUCGGAUGGAUUUGAGUAAGAGCAUAGCUGUUGGGACCCGAAAGAUGGUGAACUAUGCCUGAAUAGGGUGAAGCCAGAGGAAACUCUGGUGGAGGCUCGCAGCGGUUCUGACGUGCAAAUCGAUCGUCAAAUUUGGGUAUAGGGGCGA